AUACGUAGGGGGCGAGCGUUGUCCGGAAUGAUUGGGCGUAAAGGGCGCGUAGGCGGCCCGGUAAGUCUGGAGUGAAAGUCCUGUUUUUAAGAUGGGAAUUGCUUUGGAUACUGUCGGGCUUGAGUGCAGGAGAGGUAAGUGGAAUUCCCAGUGUAGCGGUGAAAUGCGUAGAGAUUGGGAGGAACACCAGUGGCGAAGGCGACUUACUGGACUGUAACUGACGCUGAGGCGCAAAGUGUGGGGAGCAAACAGGAUUAGAUACCCUGGUAGUCCACACUGUAAACGAUGAAUGCUAGGUGUAGGGGGUAUCGACCCCUUCUGUGCCGCAGUCAACACAAUAAGCAUUCCGCCUGGGGAGUACGGCCGCAAGGUUGAAACUCAAAUGAAUUGACGGGG
rnacentral:rRNA from 1 species